rnacentral:rRNA from 1 species
CAGUCGCCGCGGGAAUACGUAGGGUGCGAGCGUUAAUCGGAAUUACUGGGCGUAAAGCGUGCGCAGGCGGUCAUAUAAGUCAGAUGUGAAAUCCCCGGGCUCAACCUGGGAACUGCAUUUGAGACUGUAUGGCUAGAGUGUGUCAGAGGGGGGUAGAAUUCCACGUGUAGCAGUGAAAUGCGUAGAUAUGUGGAGGAAUACCGAUGGCGAAGGCAGCCCCCUGGGAUAACACUGACGCUCAUGCACGAAAGCGUGGGGAGCAAACAGGAUUAGAUACCCCCGUAGUCCCUGUCUCUUAUAC